UACGUAGGGGGCUAGCGUUGUCCGGAUUUAUUGGGCGUAAAGAGCGUGUAGGCGGCCAGAUAGGUCUGCUGUGAAAACUCGAGGCUCAACCUCGAGACGCCGAUGGAAACCAUCUGACUAGAGUCCGGAAGAGGAGAGUGGAAUUCCUGGUGUAGCGGUGAAAUGCGCAGAUAUCAGGAAGAACACCCGUGGCUAAGGCGGCUCUCUAGUACGUGACUGACGCUGAGACGCGAAAGCGUGGGGAGCGAACAGG
rnacentral:rRNA from 1 species